rnacentral:rRNA from 1 species
UACGAAGGGGGCUAGCGUUGCUCGGAAUCACUGGGCGUAAAGCGUACGUAGGCGGCUUUGUAAGUUAGAGGUGAAAGCCCGGGGCUCAACUCCGGAAUUGCCUUUAAGACUGCAUCGCUUGAAUCAUGGAGAGGUGAGUGGAAUUCCGAGUGUAGAGGUGAAAUUCGUAGAUAUUCGGAAGAACACCAGUGGCGAAGGCGACUCACUGGACAUGUAUUGACGCUGAGGUACGAAAGCGUGGGGAGCAAACAGG